rnacentral:rRNA from 1 species
AUUGAACGCUGGCGGCAGGCCUAACACAUGCAAGUCGAGCGGAGCGGCGGAGGGGGGAGUAAUGCCUAGGAAUCUGCCUGGUAGUGGGGGAUAACGUCAGGAAACGGGCGCUGAUACCGCAUACUAUCAGAUGAGCCUAGGUCGGAUUAGUUAGUGGGUGGGGUAAAGGCCUACCAAGGCGUCGAUCCGUAACUGGUCUGAGAGGAUGAUCAUCCACACUGGAACUGAGACACGGUCCAGACUCCUACGUGAGGCAGCAGUGGGGAAUAUUGCACAAUGGGCGAAAGCCUGAUCCAGCCAUGCCGCGUGUGUGAAGAAGGUCUUCGGAUUGUAAAGCACUUUAAGUUGGGAGGCGUUACCCACAGAAUAAGCACCGGCUAACUCCGUGCCAGCAGCCGCGGUAAUAC